AUUUAUAGGCCUGCUUGUCAUUUUAUGUUAUCUUUUUUUUCCCCUUCUAUCUUCAGCAACUCCAGCAAGCAACACAACAACAACAGUAGCUUCAACUACGCCAAAUAUAGCCAUCAACCUGCAGAUCUCAUACUUGUUGUUUGCUUUUGCUGGGAUCGUCAAGUGUUUCUUUUAAGUUCGAUGCCCAGAAUUUCAAAUUAUUUUUAACAAUUAUUUUAGACAAAUUGUUGGCAUUGAUUUGUAUUUAGAUCUUUGAAUAACAAACAAAAACUAAUCAACUAAACAUGGGGCCUAUUUAACAAUAUAUUUUAUAUUUUUUAAUGUCAAGUUCAUUCCAAAAUUUUUAUACUUUGAAUUACAUAUUUUAAAUUAUUUUUAAAAUUUUUAUUUCACCUAAAUAUUUUGUCAUCACAAAUAAUGUAAAUAUUGAUGUGUUAUCUGAUGUUCAGGUGGCCUUUUGUUUAAAAUGUGUCAAACUUUCCAAUGUUUAAAAUGAUCAAUGUACAAAUUUGAAAUAAUUUAAAUCAUCGGCAAUUUACUUUUUUUUUCCAUUAUUUAUUUAUAUAUUUUUAGUGAUGUCUUAUAUAUAUAUUAAACAUUAAAAUAUUUGAGUGUGUGCAUAUAUGUUUUAAUGAUUAUAAUUGUGUCAUGGAUUAAGUGGUUUAAGUUUGUCAUAUGUUUGUAAAUCAAUCUUUGGGCCUUUGAUAUGACUCUGAAAGCAUUGGUCAAUGCGGAGGGGUAGCAGUGGGCGAGUAGUUUUGAUUAGCUCGCAAGUCAGUUGACUUGAUC
rnacentral:sRNA from 1 species